rnacentral:rRNA from 1 species
UACGGGGGGGGCAAGCGUUGUUCGGAAUUACUGGGCGUAAAGGGCUCGUAGGUGGCCAACUAAGUCAGACGUGAAAUCCCUCGGCUUAACCGGGGAACUGCAUCUGAUACUGGAUGGCUUGAAUCCGGGAGAGGGAUGCGGAAUUCCAGGUGUAGCGGUGAAAUGCGUAGAUAUCAGGAGGAACACCGAUGGCGAAGGCAGGUCUCUGGGCCACUACUGACGCUGAGAAGCGAAAGCAUGGGGAGCGAACAGG